GAGUUUGAUCCUGGCUCAGGACGAACGCUGGCGGCGCGCCUAACACAUGCAAGUCGAACGGAGCUGAGAGGAGCUUGCUUUUCUUAGCUUAGUGGCGAACGGGUGAGUAACGCGUGAGUAACCUGCCCUGGAGUGGGGGACAACAGUUGGAAACGACUGCUAAUACCGCAUAAGCCCACGAUCCGGCAUCGGAUUGAGGGAAAAGGAUUUAUUCGCUUCAGGAUGGACUCGCGUCCAAUUAGCUAGUUGGUGAGGUAACGGCCCACCAAGGCGACGAUUGGUAGCCGGACUGAGAGGUUGAACGGCCACAUUGGGACUGAGACACGGCCCAGACUCCUACGGGAGGCAGCAGUGGGGGAUAUUGCACAAUGGGGGAAACCCUGAUGCAGCGACGCCGCGUGGAGGAAGAAGGUUUUCGGAUUGUAAACUCCUGUCGUUAGGGACGAUAAUGACGGUACCUAACAAGAAAGCACCGGCUAACUACGUGCCAGCCGCCGCGGUAAUUC
rnacentral:rRNA from 1 species